GCCCACGUAGCCCAAUCAGUAGAGGCGUCGAGUCGAGAGCGCGGAGGUUGCAGGUGCAAGUCCUGCCGUGGGUA
rnacentral:tRNA from 2 species